ensembl:lncRNA
UUUACCUUUUGACUUGGAGGAUUACCUUUUUCUCUUGGAAUUACUUUUGAUGUUGUGGAUUUAUAUUUUUGCCUGAACUUUCCUUUUUACUUUAUUAAAACACAGUCUCAAGUACUGCUGUGUCUGUGGGCUCUCCUUCACCGCAGCCAAUGUGAGUAAAACAUUUAAAUGUGUUAACCCUCGCAAGGCUGCCGGCCCAGACGGCAUCCCUAGCCGCAUCCUCAGAGCAUGUGCAGACCAGUUGGAUGGUGUGUUUACGGACAUAUUCAAUUCAUUCCUUCCCUGUAACGCACAACAUUAAGACUGCCUGCAACGACGGCAAGCUCAGUCCGAUGAUGCUGUGACACACCACCCCAGACCAUGACGGACCCUCCACCUCCAAAUCGAUCCCGCUCCAGAGUAUAGGCCUCGGUGUAACGCUCAUUCCUUCAACAAUAAAUUCAAAUCCGACCAUCACCCCUGGUGAGACAAAACCCUGACUCGUCAGUGAAGAGCACUUUUUGCCAGUCCUGUCUGGUCCAGCGACUGUUUUUUUUUUGCCCAUAGGCGACAUUGUUGCCGGUGAUGUCUGGUGAGGAACUGCCUUACAACAGGCCUACAAGCCCUCAGUCCAGCCUAUCACGGACAGUCUGAGCACUGAUGGAGGGAUUGUGCGUUCCUGGUGUAACUCGGCCAGUUGUUGCCAUCCUGUACCUGUCCCUCAGGUGUGAUGUUUGGGUGUACCGAUCCUGUGCAGUUGUUACACGUGGUCUGCGACUGCGAGGACGAUCAGCUGUUUAUCCUGUCUCCCUGUAGCGCUGUCUUAGGCAUCUCACAGUACAGACAUGGCAAUUUAUUGCCCUGGCCACAUCUGCAGUCCUCAUGCCUCCUUGCAGCAUGCCUAUGGCACGUUCACGCAGAUGAACAGGGAUCCCAGGCAUCUUUCUUUUGGUGUUUUUCAGAGUCAGUAGAAAGGCCUUUUGAGUGUCUAGGUUUUCUUAACGGUGACCUUAAUUGCCAUCUGUCUAAGCUGUUAGUGUCUUAACGACUGUUCCACAGGUGCAUGUUCAUUCAUUGUUUAUGGCUCAUUGAACAAGCAUGGGAAAUAGUGUUAAUUAACCCUUUACAGUGAAGUUAUUUGGAUUUUUUACGAAUUAUCUUUGAAAUACAGGGUGUGAAAGGGACGUUUCAUUUUUUGCUGAGUUUAUUUACUAAAUGGACAUUUUUUAAAGUUAAGACUCAUAACUCCACCCGAGGAGGACGCUAAACGUAAGGAUAUCUGGUUAGCUACUAGGGCAAGAGUGCUGGAACACGAGAGCAGAGAAUGGCUCCGCUUCACCAUGGGGAUGAAUUACUUCUGACAUGAUUAGGUGGUACCAUUUAUUUACUGUCAAGUAAUUAUCAAAUUGAUCAGUCUUUUGAAUAUUCUUACAACAGCUUGUCUAACAUUUUAUUGUCUGAUUUGAGUGUCUUUUUUUACAGCUACAGACUUUUGAGGAGGUUGCUAAAGGACACCUUAUGGUUGUUUCUGCCUUGAGGUGGAGUGGAGGAAGCGGAGGUGGAUAGAGUUUGAAAUGUGGAAGGUUCAACACUGUAAAACUGGUUCAAUACUCACUGAAACAGAAAUAGUAACCAGUGAUGGUUGACUACAACAGUUUGAAUGAUGGAUGUUAUCUGACCAUUUGCAGGGAAGAGCUAUGGUUCCACUGAGGAAGCCAAACAUAAGGAGGUCUGGUUAGCUACUAGGACGAGAGUGAUGGAACACAACAAGCGGGCAGAGAAUGGCUCGGAGAGCUUCACCGUGGGGAUGAAUCAUGCUUCUGACAGGGUAUGAUCACGACUACUGGGAAGGUUACAAGAUGAAGGGUAAGGUGAAGCAUUAUUGCAAUUCACUGCACUUAUAAGGUUAAUGAAUAUAUGAAUCAUUCAUUUGUAAUGGUAAUUGUAUGCUCGAGUCCUCUCUUAUUCCUUAGCCUCAAGAUAGCCUCCUUCUGUUCACCUGAUUUAGAAUUCCUCACAAUCAAAUGUCGACCGCAUUAUCUACCAAGGGAAUUCUCUUCGAUUAUAAUCACAGUCGUAUAUAUUCCCCCCCAAGCAGACACAUCGAUGGCUCUGAACGAACUUUAACCCUCGCAAGGCUGCAGGCCCAGACGGCAUCCCCAGCCGCGCCCUCAGAGCAUGCGCAGACCAGCUGGCUGGUGUGUUUACGGACAUAUUCAAUCAAUCCUUAUCCCAGUCUGCUGUUCCCACAUGCUUCAAGAUGGCCACCAUUGUUCCUGUUCCCAAGAAAGCUAAGGUAACUGCGCUAAACGACUACCGCCCUGUAGCACUCACUUCCAUCAUCAUGAAGUGCUUUGAGAGACUAGUCAAGGACCAUAUCACCUCCACCCUACCUGACACCCUAGACCCAGUCCAAUUUGCUUACUGCCCAAAUAGGUCCACAGACGAUGCAAUCUCAACCACACUGCCCUAACCCAUCUGGACAAGAGGAAUACCUAUGUGAGAAUGCUGUUCAUCGACUACAGCUCAGCAAUUAACACCAUAGUACCCUCCAAACUCGUCAUCAAGCUCAAGACCCUGGGUCUCGACUCUGCCCUGUGCAACUGGGUACUGGACUUCCUGACGGGCCGCCCCCAGGUGGUGAGGGUAGGUAACAUCUCCACCCUGCUGAUCCUCAACACAAGGGUGCGUUCUGAGCCCUCUCCUGUACUCCCUGUUCACCCACGACUGCGUGGCCAUGCACGCCUCCAACUCAAUCAUCAAGUUUGCGGAUGACACAACAGUGGUAGGCUUGAUUACCAACAACGGCAAGACGGCCUACAGGGAGGAGGUGAGGGCCCUCGGAGUGUGGUGUCAGGAAAAUAACCUCACACUCAACGUCAACAAAACUAAGGAGAUGAUUGUGGACUUCAGGAAACAGCAGAGGGAACACCCCCCUAUCCACAUCGAUGGAACAGUAGUGGAGAGGGUAGUAAGUUUUAAGUUCCUUGGCGUACACAUCACAGACAAACUGAAUUGGUCCACCCACACAGACAGCAUCGUGAAGAAGGCGCAGCAGCGCCUCUUCAACCUCAGGAGGCUGAAGAAAUUCGGCUUGUCACCAAAAGCACUCACAAACUUCUACAGAUGCACAAUCGAGAGCAUCCUGUCGGGCUGUAUCACCGCCUGGUACGGCAACUGCUCCAACCACAACCGUAAGGCUCUCCAGAGGGUAGUGAAGUCUGCACAACGCAUCAUUGGGGGCAAACUACCUGCCCUCCAGGACACCUACACCACCCGAUGUCACAGGAAGGCCAUUGUUACGGCUCUCUUCUAUCUCCUCCUCUGACGAAGAGGUAGAACAAGGAUCGGACCAAAAUGCAGCGUGAUGAUGAUUCAUGAUAUAUUUUAAUGAAGGAAAACCUAUACAUACAGAAACUACAAAACUAACUAAAUGAAAUAAUGAAAACCGAAACAGUCCUAUCUGGUGAAAAUACAAAACACUAAGACAGGAACAAUCACCCACAAACACACAGUGAAACCCAGGCUACCUAAAUAUGGUUCCCAAUCAGAGACAACAAGAAUCACCUGACUCUGAUUGAGAACCUCAGGUAGCCAUAGACUAUGCUAGACACCCCUACUCAGCCACAAUCCCAAUACCUACUAAAACCCCCAAUACCACAACACAACACAAAAUAACCCCAUGUCACACCCUGGCCUGACCAAAUAAUUAUAUAAACACAAAAUACUAAGACCAUGGCGUGACAGCCAUAAAGAUCAUCAAGGACAACAACCACUCGAGCCACUGCCUGUUCACCCCGCUAUCAUCCAGAAGGCGAGGUCAGUACAGGUGCAUCAAAGCUGGAACCGAGAGACUGAAAAACAGCUUCUAUCUCAAGGCCAUCAGACUGUUAAACAGCCACCACUAACAUUGAGUGGCUGCUGCCAACACACUGACUCAAUGAGCCACUUUAAUAAUGGGAAUUGAUGGGAAAUGAUGUAAAAUAUAUCACUAGCCACUUUAAACAAUGCUACCUAAUAUAAUGUUUACAUACCCUACAUUAGUCAUCUCAUAUGUAUACGUAUAUACUGUACUCUAUAUCAUCUACUGCAUCUUUAUGUAAUACAUGUAUCACUAGCCACUUUAACUAUGCCACAUUGUUUACAUACUCAUCUCAUAUGUAUAUACUGCACUGUAUCUUGCCUAUGCCGCUCUGUACCAUCACUCAUUCAUACAUCUUUAUGUACAUAUUCUUUAUCCCCUUACACUUGUGUGUAUAAUGUAGUAGUUUUGGAAUUGUUAGCUAGAUUACUUGUUGGUUAUUACUGCAUUGUCGGAACUAGAAGCACAAGCAUUUCGCUACACUCGCAUUAACAUCUGCUAACCAUGUGUAUGUGACAAAUAAAAUUUGAUUUGAUUUUUACUACUCGAAAGUCGUCUUUAUUCUCGCUCAAACUUCUGUCUUAUUUUUCAAAUGGUCAUGAUUAGUUUCUUAAUGUCUGCGCAAG